rnacentral:rRNA from 1 species
CCUACGGGUGGCUGCAGUGAGGAAUAUUGGUCAAUGGGCGAGAGCCUGAACCAGCCAAGUCGCGUGAAGGAUGACGGCCCUACGGGUUGUAAACUUCUUUUGUCAGGGAGCAAUUGAGUCCACGUGUGGUCUUAGCGAGAGUACCUGAAGAAAAAGCAUCGGCUAACUCCGUGCCAGCCGCCGCGGUAAUACGUAGGGGGCGAGCGUUAUCCGGAUUUACUGGGUGUAAAGGGAGCGUAGACGGCGUCGCAAGUCUGAAGUGAAAGCCCGUGGCUCAACCGCGGAACCGCUUUGGAAACUGCGAGGCGUGAGUGCUGGAGAGGUAAGCGGAAUUCCUGGUGUAGCGGUGAAAUGCGUAGAUAUCAGGAGGAACACCGGUGGCGAAGGCGGCUUACUGGACAGUGACUGACGUUGAGGCUCGAAAGCGUGGGGAGCGAACAGGAUUAGAUACCCCGGUAGUC